UUCGGCUGCUCCCAGCCCAACCAGAUCCAGCCCCAUCACCGUUGUUCCCCGCCGUCGUCGAUGGGAUGCGGCCAUCGUCUACUUCCUCUGCCCCAGGCCAGCUGAGAUCCUUCCCCUCUAGCUCCGACUGAGUCCACUGCGUCCCAGAUGGCAGGGGUGGAGGAUCCUCUGGUCGCGGUGGCGUGUGAUGUGGGUGUCACGCGAUGGCAGAGUGGAGCUACGUCCGGUGGUAGUGGUGUCUGAUGUGGUCUUUCCGGCGUCAUGAUCUGCUAGGCCUAGGUACAACAAUGUCAGGUCCAGACGCUGACAGCGUUUCUGGGCUGAUUCGGGUAGAGGGGUCCCAUGGGAGAGCGUUGCAUUCGUUCAGCUGCGAGAGCUUCUCAUCAGAAAUUCUUUGCUUGGACGUAACAUCCUAGCAAUAUCUACUACGGAAGCACAAUGUUCGGAGGCACCGGUGUACUUCUGGGUGCCUGCAUGUCAAUACAAUCUAGUACAGUAUAGUAGUAAUUUGCUAGUAAACCUGGCACACGAGUCUAGUUUGUCUUUACAUCUUUAUUUAAUGUUUAAUUUCUUCUUCUAAUUUAGUGCUAGUCUGCUAGAGUACAUGAUGAUAGUUGCUGAAGCAAACUAAUCCAAUUCUAUAUAUGUUUCAUCUUCCUUGCAAAAACUUAUCAAUCAGCGGAUAAUUGGGUGGCGAAAUAAGUGUUUUUUAGUCAGCUAACAUUCAAUGAUUGGGUGGUGAAAUAAGUGUUUUCUUUAGUUGGCUAACACUGUGACGCUUGUAUGUUCUGUAAAUUAUCAAUCUUGAAUUUUUUGAAGAGCAUAGAAAGAGUUGCACAACCAUAUUUCAGAGUUGCACAUUGAGUAUCAUGCAGUUGGUCGGGGCUGUUGUCAAAGUUGCACAUCCUACUGGAAGUAGUUGCUUAAGUCGAUCUAUUUUUGCUAGUCACACUUUUCUGUUGGCAUCUGCAGUAUUGUAGUUGCACAUAUAGUAGUUCUCAGUUGGAUAUGACCACUAAAAACUUGUACAACACUAAUGUAAACUAGAAGCAUGUCGUCCUACAAGUAGACCUCAUCACUCACCUUUUUUGCAACUAGGCAGUUCCCCUUAUCCAAAUUUUUUUGAUUGACUUGCCAACCAAGUAGUAUAAUUGUUUCCGGGUGGCAGUUUUUUCGCUCAAGAAAUUCAUGUGCAACUUUCUUUUUAAUUCUUGUGCAACUUGUUACCUUGAGUUGCCAACUUCAUAGUAGCCAUUUUUCAUUAUUUUCUGCCCGUGUGCAACUUGUUAAUUUAAGUUGCCAACUUCAUAUGUAAAUGUAGCCUACCCACCCCCAUUUUGUUGCCCCAGUGCAAUUUUAUUAUUUUUUACUAAUAUGUUUGUUCUUUUCUGUUUUGCAGAAGCAAAAUGGUUGGUGAAGGAGAUGUGUCUGGCAGUGAAACAGAGGGUUCUCCAAAUAGGACCUCUUAGUGGAACUCAAAACGGGCUGCUAAGCAGCAACCAUGUGGCGUUGAUAUUGACGGGGAUGGAGAGGAUGAUGACGUGUCCUAGAGAGUAUCUAAAUGAGCUGGCAUCCUCAAGCUUUUCUAGUUGCACAAGAGUACCUGAUUAGUUGGCAUCCUCAGCAUUUCUAGUUGCACAAUUCAAUCCAGCUAGUUGAGAUCCUCAGUCUUUUUGUAGUUGCAUUGACACCCUCGGCAUUUUUUUCUAGAAGCCUGAAAUCUGAAUGUGCAAUUCUGAUUGGUCAUGCAAGUGCUGAAUAUUUCAUUUCCCAAGAGUAUCUAAUUAAUUGGCAUCCUCAAGAUUUUUAGUUGCAGAAGAGUAUUUAAUUAGUUGGCAUCCUUAGCAUUUCUACUUGCACAAAUAGUAUCCAAUUAAUUGACAUCCUCAGCCUUUCUAGUUGCACAAAAGUAACAUUUUUUAGUCCCAUCUUCAAAUUUUUGAGGGUUGCCCAAGAGUAUCCAAUGACUUGGCACCCUCAGCCUUUCUAGUUCCACAUGAGUAUUUAUUUAGUUGGCAUCCUGAGCAUUUUCUAGUUACACAAUAGGAUGUAACUAGUUGACAUCCUCGGCCUUUCUAGUUGCACAAGAGUAACUAUUUUAGUUGGCAUCCUCUGCAUUUUGUAGUUGCACGACUAACAUAAUAUCAAGUUGGCAUCGUCAACCUUUUUUAUCCAGUUGUUCUGAAGAACAAAAAAUAUUUUGUAUGUAGUGUUAACUAAUCACCUUUGGCACCUUAUGUUUGCAAAACCUCAGGUGAUCACGUCGGAAUGUGAUCACCUUUGGCACCUUUUUCUGAUGGCAGGAAAUAUAAUUUCAUCUUCUUGGUCUUGGUUGCUUUUCUUGAAGAGGUCGAUCCAUUACGGUUGAUGUCUUCAUUUCUCUUAUUCAGGUCAUCAUGAUGAAGUCGACAUCCUUUCUUUAGGGUCCCCAUCGUACUUACAGAAAAGAUAAGGGGAAGACUUGCUCAACACAUAUUAGGUACCAGGGGGCUAUCUCAGUGAAUGAGGCAUAGAGGCAUCUCUGAGUUGAAAUUUCAGAAAGUCAUCGAGAGCAAGGUAAGAAGAAGGUGUCUCGUGAAGUACUUAUGAAGCCAUGCGUGAGGAAUAACUUUGGAAACAGGGGGUACAGGACAAUAAGGUUUUGAUCAUGUGGCUUGUGGGUUAUGGGCCCACCAUACGGGUUAAAUGUAGGAAGAGCGGUGACAUCUUGCACGGUCAUAGUAGCAAGGUGUGUCAGAGGAUAGCCUGUCAGCUAU